GAUGAACGCUAGCGGCAGGCUUAAUACAUGCAAGUCGUGGGGCAGCAUGAGUAGCAAUACUUGAUGGCGACCGGCAAACGGGUGAGGAACACGUACACAACCUUCCUUCAAGCGGGGAAUAGCCCAGAGAAAUUUGGAUUAAUACCCCAUAAUAUAUUUGAUAAGGCAUCUUAUUAAUAUUAAAGCUUCGGCACUUGAUGAUGGGUGUGCGGCUGAUUAGAUAGUUGGCGGGGUAACGGCCCACCAAGUCUACGAUCAGUAGCUGAUGUGAGAGCAUGAUCAGCCACACGGGCACUGAGACACGGGGCCCGACUCCUACGGGAGGCAGCAGUAAGGAAUAUUGGACAAUGGACGAAAGUCUGAUCCAGCCAUGCCGCGUGAAGGAUUAAGGUCCUCUGGAUUGUAAACUUCUUUAUAUGGGACGAAAAAGGGCAUUCUUGUUCACUUGACGGUACCAUAUGAAUAAGCACCGGCUAACUCCGUGCCAG
rnacentral:rRNA from 1 species